GUCAAGACAAAUAGAGAUGAAGAAACUGAGGCCUCAAAAAGGUUAAUGAAUUACCUAAUGUCAAAUUGUAGGGGCAUUUGCAUAUUAGCAUGGUAUCUGAAGCCUUCGGUGCAGAUUUAGAGGGGAGUCCAUUUCUUACCAUGAGACAAUGUGGGGAACUCAAUG